GGCGCCGGCCCCUCCGACGCCCCGUAGAGCUCCGCCAGCUUCCGGAAGCGGGGCCCCCAGUCCGUGAGGAAGUCGAAGCUCUGCUCCGAGUCCGACGUGGCCGACUGCAGGGAGCUCAGCGACCCGGCCACCGAGCCGUCCCCCUCGAACGUGUACGUCUGCAGGGAGUCGAAGGGCGGGGCCCACAGGUCCAUGUCGGCCUCGUAGAGCUUGGCCAGCACGUAGCUGUGGACCGUGCUGUUGACGGCGCACGUCUGAGGCACGUAGCGGGAGAGGCUCUCAAUCUCCGGCAGCAUGUCCUGCCGCGUCUUGGGGGCGCCCCCGCCCUGCGCCUCCCGGGGGUUCCACAUGGCCGCGAUGUCGAAGGCCUCGGUGUCCUCCUCGCCGCCGCCCUCGUCGUCGUAGCGGACGAUGUUCUCGUGGAUGUUCUCCUCGUCGUCGAUGAUGUACGGCUGCUUCCGGUGCCGCCUCAGGGACAGAAUGAGCAGCACCAGCACUGCGGGGGACAGAGAGGACGCGGCCUUGAGCCCCGAGCCCCGGCCGCGUGUGCCCUACCGGAAGUGGCCGUGACCAGCCUCAGCUGGUGAAGGGUAACAACUUGACAACACAGCAGAAUAAAACUGCAGUUUACCAAGGGGGAGAAAAAUGGAGUGCAGUGGGAUUCGAGUUGGCCUUUCAGAGAGGCGUUAAGGGAAAAGGUGACCAGUAAGGCCUGGAGAAGUGGAAUCAUCUCAGUUACAAUUCUCCACGAGUUGGGAAAUUUAAGGAAGAACAGUAGUGCCAUUCUCUGCUUGUGACCCAUUUUAAUAAACACUUACUGUAGCCACACAUUGCUCUGAAUACUUUACAUUAUAUUGGCUCAUGUAACAGGGUAGGUUCCGUUAUCUUGGUUUUAUAGGUAAAGAGACUGAGUCCUGGAUUGGUUAUGUCAUUUCCCAAGAUUGGAAUCAAGUCUAGGCAGCUUUCUUCCAGAACUCUUCUCCAAACUCCAUACUCCUAUAGCCAGCAGCGUGACACAUCUCCACUUGGGUAACAUGUCCAGAACUUAAUCCAGGAUUUGCCACCACCUGCCACCUUCUCUACCUGCAGACUCUCCCAUCUCAGCCUCCAUUAACAUGAUUUGGAAAGAGGAGUUGGAUUACCUUCUUCACAGUUAUGAUGCCAACUUGGAAAUUGGGAUCUGUGUUAAUGUCAAAGGCAUCUGCACCAUCUCCAUCCACAAUGGUAUAUUUCAUCUCUGCGUUGAUUCCUUCAUCCAAGUCCUUGGCAAACACUCUACCCACGGUGGAGCUAACUGGCGCCGAUUCCAGCACACUCAUCUGAUAAUGUUCUAUGAAGAAAGGUCAGAACAGGCAUUCUUGUAAUCUGUUACUAUAAAAAAUACCACAAUAUCAAAUCAUAUCAGGCAUGCCGGUCAAGACAUCUUUCUUGUUCAAGAAUUAAAACUUGAGUUUUACAGAGAAACUGAGACCCCAAAAGGCUGAGCAAACAGUAUGAAGUCUUAUCCUAUACUGGUUAUUUGAUAAGGAUGGGCCAAGAUAGUUUGACCUAAUCCUAAGACUAGAACAAGAUAAAAACAAAAAUAUUUCUUAUUUCCAUGAAUCUACCCUCAGUGUGGAAGGAGUUACCUCGCUUUCCAAUCUUUCAGUCCCUCCUAAUGGACUGUUGCCUCAAAUGUUAAUUCUUUCUGAGGAAGAAAAAAGCAUUGUGAUUGCAAAGUACACAUUUAUUCUGUUCAAACUUGAGAUACCGACAUUUUCCUUCGUGGCCAGGCCAGUGUGUGGAGUUUCUACCCCAGUGGCCACCUGCCCAAAUUUAACAGUGAUCAGUGAUCUAUGAAGGAGGGACAGCUGCAGAGAGCAAGCUCCCACCAGCUCCAUGUGUUGUCCAUCAGUGGUGUGUCCUUACCCUUGGCUCUGCUUACUGGAAACCUCUGUUGUUUCUUGUUAUCUUUUUUCAGAACAGAAUACCCAAAUGUUCUCACAAAUGUAAGAAUCUCAGAGUUGGUAAUGUUCUCCUUUUCAGAUUCACAAUUAAAUUUAGUUCCUUUUUGUCUCCACAGAGUUAUGUCUUCGCUAACCUUCUCUGGGGCUCAGCUUUUUGACAUUCUUCUUCAUUUUGUCAAUCAAAAUGUGACUGACUAA